CAGCAGCCACGGUAAUACGUAGGUGGCAAGCGUUGUCCGGAAUUAUUGGGCGUAAAGGGCUCGCAGGCGGUUUCUUAAGUCUGAUGUGAAAGCCCCCGGCUCAACCGGGGAGGGUCAUUGGAAACUGGGAAACUUGAGUGCAGAAGAGGAGAGUGGGAUUCCACGUGUAGCGGUGAAAUGCGUAGAGAUGUGGAGGAACACCAGUGGCGAAGGCGACUCUCUGGUCUGUAACUGACGCUGAGGAGCGAAAGCGUGGGGAGCGAACAGGAUUAGAUACCCCCGUAGUCCCUGUCUCUUAUAC
rnacentral:rRNA from 1 species